rnacentral:rRNA from 1 species
AUUGAACGCUGGCGGCGUGCCUUACACAUGCAGGUCGAACGGCAGCACGGGGCAACCCGGUGGCGAGUGGCGAACGGGUGAGUAAUGCAUCGGAACGUACCUUUCAGUGCGGGAUAACGUAGCGAAAGUUACGCUAAUACCGCAUAUUCUGUGAGUAGGAAAGCAGGGGAUCGCAAGACCUUGUGCUGAUUGAGCGGCCGAUGUCAGAUUAGCUAGUUGGUGAGGUAAAGGCUCACCAAGGGGACGAUCUGUAGCGGGUCUGAGAGGAUGAUCCGCCACACUGGAACUGAGACACGGUCCAGACUCCUACGAGAGGCAGCAGUGGGGAAUUUUGGACAAUGGGGGCAACCCUGAUCCAGCCAUGCCGCGUGAGUGAAGAAGGCCUUCGGGUUGUAAAGCUCUUUCGGCCGGGAAGAAAUCGCACGGGCUAAUACCCUGUGUGGAUGACGGUACCGGAAUAAGAAGCACCGGCUAACUACGUGCCAGCCGCCGCCGUAACAC